rnacentral:rRNA from 1 species
AUCCUACGGGGGGCAGCAGUGGGGAAUAUUGCGCAAUGGACGAAAGUCUGACGCAGCGACGCCGCGUGAGGGAUGAAGGUUUUCGGAUCGUAAACCUCUGUCAGGAGGGAAGAAAGCGCAUGGCGCCAAUCAGCCAUGCGUUGACGGUACCUCCAAAGGAAGCGCCGGCUAACUCCGUGCCAGCAGCCGCGGUAAUACGGAGGAUGCGAGCGUUAUCCGGAUUUAUUGGGUUUAAAGGGUGCGUAGGCGGACAGUCAAGUCAGCGGUAAAAAUGCGGUGCUCAACGCCGUACAGCCGUUGAAACU